rnacentral:rRNA from 1 species
GAUGAACGCUAGCGGCAGGCCUAACACAUGCAAGUCGAGGGAGAAGCCCUUUCGGGGGCAGACACCGGCGCACGGGUGCGUAACGCGUAUGCAACCUACCUUUCACAGGGGGAUAGCCCGAAGAAAUUUGGAUUAAUACCCCAUAAUAUUAUUGGAUGGCAUCAUUUGAUAAUUAAAACUGCGGUGGUGAAAGAUGGGCAUGCGUCCUAUUAGCUAGUUGGAGUGGUAACGGCACCCCAAGGCUACGAUAGGUAGGGGUCCUGAGAGGGAGAUCCCCCACACGGGUACUGAGACAGGGACCAGACUCCUACGGGAGGCAGCAGUGAGGAAUAGUAGGCAAUGGUCGGAAGACUGAACCAGCCAUGCCGCGUGCAGGAAGAAUGCCUUAUGGGUUGUAAACUGCUUUUAUAUGGGAAGAAUAAGGUGUACGUGUACAUUGAUGACGGUACCAUAUGAAUAAGCAUCGGCUAACUCCGUG